UACGUAGGGUGCGAGCGUUGUCCGGAAUUACUGGGCGUAAAGAGUUCGUAGGCGGUUUGUCGCGUCGUUCGUGAAAACUUGGGGCUUAACUCCAAGCGUGCGGGCGAUACGGGCAGACUUGAGUACUACAGGGGAGACUGGAAUUCCUGGUGUAGCGGUGAAAUGCGCAGAUAUCAGGAGGAACACCGGUGGCGAAGGCGGGUCUCUGGGUAGUAACUGACGCUGAGGCACGAAAGCUAGGGGAGCAAACAGG
rnacentral:rRNA from 1 species